rnacentral:rRNA from 1 species
GAUGAACGCUAGCGGCAGGCUUAACACAUGCAAGUCGAGGGGUAGGGCAGCAAUGCCUGAGACCGGCGCACGGGUGCGUAACGCGUAUGCAAUCUACCUUGUACAGGGGAAUAGCCCAGAGAAAUUUGGAUUAAUGCCCCAUAGUAUAUUUGAAUGGCAUCAUUUAAAUAUUAAAGUUCAGGCGGUACAAGAUGAGCAUGCGUCCCAUUAGCUAGUUGGUAUGGUAACGGCAUACCAAGGCAAUGAUGGGUAGGGGUCCUGAGAGGGAGAUCCCCCACACUGGUACUGAGACACGGACCAGACUCCUACGGGAGGCAGCAGUGAGGAAUAUUGGUCAAUGGGCGCAAGCCUGAACCAGCCAUGCCGCGUGCAGGAUGACGGUCCUAUGGAUUGUAAACUGCUUUUGUACAGGAAGAAACACUCCCUCGUGAGGGAGCUUGACGGUACUGUAAGAAUAAGGAUCGGCUAACUCCGUG